AACGCACAUUGCGCCCGCCGGUACUCCGGCGGGCAUACCUGUUCGAGCGUCGUCUCAACCCUCGGGCCCCCGGGCUCGGUGUUGGGGAUCGGCCCCCCCGCGGCGGCCGGCCCUGAAAUCCAGUGGCGGUCUCGCCGUCGCCUCCCCUGCGUAGUAGCAACACCUCGCACCGGAGCGCGGCGCGGCCACGCCGUAAAACCCCCCACUCUCAAGGUUGACCUCGAAUCAGGUAGGACUACCCGCUGAACUUAA
rnacentral:misc_RNA from 1 species